AGUGAACGCUGGCGGUAGGCCUAACACAUGCAAGUCGAACGGCAGCACAGUAAGAGCUUGCUCUUACGGGUGGCGAGUGGCGGACGGGUGAGGAAUACAUCGGAAUCUACUUUUUCGUGGGGGAUAACGUAGGGAAACUUACGCUGAUACCGCAUACGACCUACGGGUGAAAGCAGGGGAUCUUCGGACCCUGCGCGAUUGAAUGAGCCGAUGUCGGAUUAGCUAGUUGGCGGGGUAAAGGCCCACCAAGGCGACGAUCCGUAGCUGGUCUGAGAGGAUGAUCAGCCACACUGGAACUGAGACACGGUCCAGACUCCUACGGGAGGCAGCAGUGGGGAAUAUUGGACAAUGGGCGCAAGCCUGAUCCAGCCAUACCGCGUGGGUGAAGAAGGCCUUCGGGUUGUAAAGCCCUUUUGUUGGGAAAGAAAAGCAGCAGGUUAAUACCCCGCUGUUCUGACGGUACCCAAAGAAUAAGCACCGGCUAACUUCGUG
rnacentral:rRNA from 1 species